UGGGAGUUUGUGUGGUUCCUCUCCCGUUCCUCUCUGGCAGGGUCCUCCUCUCUGCUUCCCAGCUGCCAUGAGUGAAUUAAGCAGUUUUGCUCCAUCAUGUCCUCCCACCACUGUUUCUGACUUGGAGCCAGCUGGCCAUCAACUGAAUCCUCAUAAAACAUGAGCCACAUUUAAUCUCUCCAACUAUAAAGUUAAAACAGCCUCAGCAGAUCCUUCAGGAAGAUUCUAUAAGAAGCUCUUGUUAUCAUGGGAGGUGCAACUCCGUGCAUGACAUUGCCCCUGAAGACCUUCCAGCAUUACAAGAUGUGGAGGAAGCAUUUUGGUAACCAUUAUUUUAAAAACAAACUAUAUUUGUGAAUAAAGAGAUCUCCAGCAAGGACCAAAAGGAUUAUAAUGAAGAGGAAAAAAACGUUGGAGGAAGCUGUCAUCACUUGAACAAGCGUAUUGAUGAAAUACACUGUUACUAUGCACCCCUGUGACCCCAGUGUGGUAAUAGACUCUGAAGGAUUCCUCUGAAAGGAAAAAAGCACGGCUUCUGCCCCAAAGUAGUGUGUCUCCAUCCACCUUGUUCACUGGAUCUUACACAAUGUGACUGCUGGCUCUUCCCCAAAGCCAAAAUAACCAAAACGUUUAGAAUUCAUUCAAGACAUUGAGACAGCCACAAUAACACAGCUCAAGAUGCUCCUGUAAAGAGGACUUUGACAACUGCUUUACAAAGCAGCAAGCACAGGGAGGUAAAUGUGUCUGAAGUAUGGUAGAGUGGUAUUUUGAGGAGUGUUAAUGGCAAUGUGUCUUUGACUGAAAUAGCUUUUUAAAUUUAAACAUCAUUGUAAUUUUUCAAUUACAUCUUUUUUUUUCCUUUUAGACUCGGUCUUGCUAAAUUAUUAAAUUGCCUCAGCCUCCUGGAGUGCUGGAUUAUGAGCAUAUAGCACUAGACUCAGCUCUAUUUAAUAUAUAAUAAAGCAAAAAUAAUGAAAAGGUCCACAAUUGUUGCAAAUAUUGUCUGACAAUGAAACAGAAUUGAUAGAUUUAAAGCAGAAUUAAGUAUGUAUAAGAACUUGGUAGUGCACAGGGAAAUGUCAUGAACCACUUGGGGAAGAAACGAAUUGUUAAAUAAACGGUUCUGAAGAAACUCACAGAAUGUUGGAGAAGUAUACCAAGUUUAUUUCUCAAAUUAGAAUAAACACCACAAUACAUUCCAGAUAGAUUAUACAAAUAUAUGUAAAAAUAUCCCAAUGUGGCCCAGGGUGAUGGUACAUGCCUAUAACUCCAGCACUCAGGAAGCUGAGGCAGAAAGAUCACCACAAGCCCAAGGCCAUCCUCAACUACACUGUGAGACUUUGUCUCAAAAAAAAACCCAAACUUUUUAAAAUUAAUUAUUUAAAAUGUGGAAAUACUUUCUGAGCAUUAAAUUUUAAAGUUUCCCAUAAAGGAAUUUAUUACAUGUAAUUGAAUUAAAAACUUAAAAUCCUGCACAUGAAAAUACCUCAAAACUUUAUAGAAUAUUUGCAAAGCAUUUGGUAAGUAAAAGGCUACUGCCCAUUCUUUCCUUUUCUCUUUCUUGCCUUUCUUCAGCAAGCAGGGAUACACUGUGGGAACUGAAGAAUCGGUGGCAACCAAUUUAAAUUCAGAACUCAAAGCUACUGCCAUCCAUGAAGCUCCUCUAGGGGAACUGGAGAAAAAGCUGCCCAAUGAUUGCAAACAACAAACAAUGUAGCAGCUCAAAAGAAAACACUAAAAUUUGCAGGAUAUUCACUAAAAAAUGUGAAAAAUUACUUGUGCUCCCACGUUAACAAAGAAAUACAUACGGAACUAGCAGCGACAAUGCUAAGUCUCUGAACAGAAUUGAGAGUGAUAUAGGGUAACGAAAUUCCUGACCUACUGUAUGUGUAUUGGUAUAAGUUUUUCCUCUAAAAUCGAAAAAUGAUUUUCAGGAACAACGGAAGCUAAGAGCAGAGUAUAUUUAUUGAGAGAAAGAAAGCUUCUGUCUGAAAGAGAGAUAGAGUGGAUUGCCAAGCCUCUGUCUUUUCUAGGGAUUUUAUAGAGCAAAACCACUAGGUAAGAUGGGUUCAAAAUGGAGAAAAUAUGGGAACUGGCAAAGCAAGUGGGCAUGAGGUGAGACAGAACUAUGGUCAACCAACAAGAUUGCCCAAGUAAAACUGGUUAAACUGGGAUCAAAUGGGGAGGCGAGCAUGAAUACAGAAUAGGGUCUUUGCUGCUAAGGGGUUGGGUUAAUGACUCCUUUUGGCUUCCUCAAGAUGAUUCAUAGAAUCAUCCAUUUAGAAUAUCAAUCCCUCAUGUUUAUACUUAUGGUAUGCUUGUAUUCAUUUUGCCUUUCGUCUUGAGAUCUGGCCCACAGCAGAAGUGUCUGUCUCCUCCAAGGUUGCAAGAUAUCUGGUCUUCUGCAUUGACUCCCUCAAGGGCCCUAACCCUGCCUAACUGCCUAUAAUAUUUCUAACUAACUCAGUUGCCUAACGAUACCAUAGAUGGUCUCUAAAUCAUUAUGCUAAGUGAAAAAAACCAGGUACAAAAGACCACACAGAAAGUAGUGGCUUGGGUGGAAAGUGACCGGGGAAUGAAUGGAAUGGAUAGAGAGGCAGGUUGCAUCUAAAGAAUUGGAAUUUGAUUACUACCUGUUUUUGAAGUUAUACACUAUCUACAAAGUUGUGUUUUUAUUAAUAUUGUUAUGUACUGCUAUAUUCAACUAUACUAUGUCUGCUAAUACAGACAAUUCUAUUGAAGAUAACAAGAGACAACACAGUAACCAUGGUAGAACUUCUUGUAUAGUGGUUUUAUGUCUUUUUCAUUUCAUGUGUUUAUAGGACUAUGUUUUGUUUUGUCUUGCUUUGUUUUGUUUCUCCCUCUAACAUAGAAAGGAUAGAAAUACAUGUUAAGACUAAUGCAUGUGCAGAAUCUAUAAACAAUUUACAAGAACUGAUCAUAUAAUGCAUGAUGAAAUGAACAAAUACUUUGAAGAAAAAGAGAUACUACAGUACCUAGUGCUGAUCCUGUAGUGUCAUGAUGUAAAAUCCAGUAAUACUAUUAUUCUCUGUUCAGAGUGAUUUUAGCCUGCUUUGGUUUGUUUAGUCUCAACAUAAAUGAAGAUAUGAAUGUAUGAAGACCUGCGUGUAUGUUUAAGAGUAUAGGGUUGAUAAUCACAUUACUAAGUUUUUGUUGGAUAGUUGAACAGAACUGUUUGUGGUCUUGUUUGAAACCCCACUUUUGUAUGUUUCACUUUUGUAUCUUGAACAACUAUUUGUAAGAGGACAAUAUGUAAUCAUCAACCAGUGAUUUCUUACUGUUGAUUUUUUCUUUGAAAAUAUGUAUUAUUUCUACCCGUUUUCUGUUUUGUUUAGUCUUUCUUUAAAUAAAUUUUAAAAAAUAAAGAGU